UGAGGGACAUGGCAAGGGAGACACCAUGAUCUCAAAGGUAGUUUUCCCAGGGUGAGGCUCAUCCAUUGCACUCUGGGUGUGCUGACCCCUGCAAUUUCCCUAAAUGCGGGAAACUCGAAUGCAUAAUUUGUGGUAGUGGUGGACUCCACGC
rnacentral:snRNA from 1 species